GUCCCGUCUCGCUGUCGCGUCCCUUUGAAAUUCCAAGGAAAUUUACCAAUAUGGAUUUUUCGGCUGUAAUCCCCUUGUUGAGAUGCCGGAGCUUUCUAAAGCUGCUGAUGGAGGAGGCCUUUUUCGUUGGCAGGAGAAGUUACAGUCAUCAGAUCUAAUGGAAAGCAUGGAAAACACGGAAAUAUGUCUUCAGAAGAGGUGGGCUUUGAGGGAUCACUGUGGGGGCACCAAGAUGAGAAUGACUUCAGUGAUUUUGGAGCAGUUGUCUUCAGCCUUUGAGAAGUGGUGAUUUCUGAAUUUCCUUGUGAAUAUGGGAUCAUGGCGCUGAGUGGAAAAUAAAAUAUCAUCAUAGGGAGCUUAUGGGGAAAAACCAACAACAACAAACACAGCAGCCAGUGGAAUGGCAACAAACCAGAUGGAUUUGUGGUAACCACAGCAAAUACGGAUGCUGGGAAACAAGAAAAGGCAAACAAACGGAUUUGAGAGAUACUGAGAAAGGAAAUGUCUUUGAAACCAAGAGGAGCUAGAAAUUCUCCAGACUUGAUCUACCCACCAAGGCACAGCUGAGAAGUUUGAGUCAGGCACCCAGUGGUCUGUGGGUGUCCUGAGAAAUGCUGGAUUGAUCCCUUUCUGUUUCAGUGAGCCGGGAAGAUGGGACGCCCUGCAAGCGGAGGGACAUCAAAGGCUCUUGCCAGGUGACAAUGGUGGCAGGCACACGUGGCACUUGUGUGCCAGAGCAUCAGCCAGCACUCCACAAGGGUAGUAAUCCACUCUGCUGACUGGAUGGGUCAGCUUCCCAUGGAAUUGCUGCAAAUUCCCAGGGUAGAGACAGGCUGUGAGAUCCCAUUAAAAUAGCAUU